rnacentral:rRNA from 1 species
CCAGACUCCUACGGGAGGCAGCAGUGGGGAAUAUUGCACAAUGGGGGAAACCCUGAUGCAGCGACGCCGCGUGGGUGAAGGAGCGUUUCGGCGCGUAAAGCCCUAUCGGCAGGGAAGAAGGAGGACGGUACCUGACUAAGAAGCCCCGGCUAACUACGUGCCAGCAGCCGCGGUAAUACGUAGGGGGCAAGCGUUAUCCGGAUUUACUGGGUGUAAAGGGGGCGCAGACGGCAGCGCAAGCCAGGAGUGAAAGCCCGGGGCCCAACCCCGGGACUGCUCUGGAAACUGCGGCGCUGGAGUACGGGAGGGGCAGGCGGAAUUCCUGGUGUAGCGGUGAAAUGCGUAGAUAUCAGGAGGAACACCGGCGGCGAAGGCGGCCUGCUGGACCGUGACUGACGUUGAGGCUCGAGAGCGUGGGGAGCAAACAGGAUUAGAUACCCUGGUAA